rnacentral:rRNA from 1 species
UACGGAGGGUGCGAGCGUUAAUCGGAAUUACUGGGCGUAAAGCGUGCGUAGGUGGUUUGAUUAGUCUGAUGUGAAAGCCCUGGGCUUAACCUGGGAACUGCAUUGGAUACUGUCAAGCUAGAGUGUGGGAGAGGGUAGUGGAAUUUCCGGUGUAGCAGUGAAAUGCGUAGAGAUCGGAAGGAACACCAGUGGCGAAGGCGGCUACCUGGACCAACACUGACGCUGAGGUACGAAAGCGUGGGGAG